rnacentral:rRNA from 1 species
UACGGAGGGGGCUAGCGUUGUUCGGAAUUACUGGGCGUAAAGCGCACGUAGGCGGCUUUGUAAGUCAGAGGUGAAAUCCCGGGGCUCAACCCCGGAACUGCCUUUGAGACUGCAUCGCUUGAAUCCAGGAGAGGUGAGUGGAAUUCCGAGUGUAGAGGUGAAAUUCGUAGAUAUUCGGAAGAACACCAGUGGCGAAGGCGGCUCACUGGACUGGUAUUGACGCUGAGGUGGCGAAAAGCGUGGGGAGCAAACAGG